rnacentral:tRNA from 1 species
GCCGGGGUGGCGGAAUUGGCAGACGCGAAGGACUUAAAAUCCUUUGGCCAUUUCGGUCGUGCGGGUUCGAUUCCCGCCCCCGGCACCA